CCUACGGGUGGCAGCAGUGAGGAAUAUUGGUCAAUGGGCGGGAGCCUGAACCAGCCAAGUCGCGUGAGGGAUGAAGGUUCUAUGGAUCGUAAACCUCUUUUAUAAGGGAAUAAAGUGUGGGACGUGUCCUAUGUUGUAUGUACCUUAUGAAUAAGGAUCGGCUAACUCCGUGCCAGCAGCCGCGGUAAUACGGAGGAUCCGAGCGUUAUCCGGAUUUAUUGGGUUUAAAGGGGGCGUAGGCGGCCUUGUGAGUCAGCGGUGAAAGUCUGGGGCUGAACCAUAGAAUUGCCGUUGAAACUGGGGGUGUUGAGUAGGUGUGAGGAAGGCGGAAUGCGUGGUGGAGCGGUGAAAUGCUUAGAUAUCACGCAGAACCCCGAUUGCGAAGGCAGCCUGCCAGGCCAUGACUGACGCUGAUGCACGAAAGCGUGGGGAUCGAACAGGAUUAGAUACCCUAGUAGUC
rnacentral:rRNA from 1 species